GUAAAUCGACACCAUACAAUGUACGUACGGUUAGUGGUAAAGCUCAUUUGAGCUAUGUUUUGACAGUUGUGCGAAGAGAAUUAAAUAAAAUAAUAAUUUAAAAUUAAUGUGCUAUUGAGAGUUUUUCCAACUCAACUGAUUAAAGUUGUUUGCUGCAAGUACUCUAAGUAAAUUACGAUUUGUAUUUGCCACUUUUUUGGUUUGCCAUCCAAAUACGCGCGUAUAUAUAACAUCGUCACCUUUAAUUAAGUUCCACUGUGCACGACGCCUCAGUUUCAUCAGGCCUCGAAGCUAAGAGAAGCGCCCGCAGCAUCAUCCACAGCGGCGAAGACGACGUUGACGCUGAUGCUGAAGCUUGUCACUUGUCAGUUGUUUGUCAUCUGACAUACAUAUGUCAGUGAUAUAUCAUCGGGCAAAUGGCCACAGCGAACACAGCGCCGAAAAAAAGCAGCGUAUGAAAAUAUAAUUGAAUAACUAACCAUCAGCUCGGAUCAAGUGCCACUUCCGCUCAACUUCCUUUCAAGUGUGCAUAACAUCUAUCAAUCAAUCUGCCAUAUGUGGACAAUUUAUGCUCCAAAGCAUGUACAGAAGCAUAUCGCGAUACCGUAUAUGACCGAUACAUAAUUCGAUAUAAGUAUAAUAAGUAUAUUUAAAAUUAUGGCGAAUCGAAGAUCUGAGUUCUUAUAUUGGAGACUCUGGUAUUGGUUUUUACUGCAGUCCAUUGGCUUUUAAGUCUUAAAGACAUCUUAAUCAAAGUUUGCAAAAAUAGAGCUCAUGUAAUAUACGCAGAAAAAUGUCCUUAUA